UGGGGAAUAUUGGGCAAUGGGCGCAAGCCUGACCCAGCAACGCCGCGUGAAGGAAGAAGGCUUUCGGGUUGUAAACUUCUUUUAUCAGGGACGAAGCAAGUGACGGUACCUGAUGAAUAAGCCACGGCUAACUACGUGCCAGCAGCCGCGGUAAUACGUAGGUGGCGAGCGUUAUCCGGAUUUACUGGGUGUAAAGGGCGUGUAGGCGGGCUUGCAAGUCAGGUGUGAAAUUCCAGGGCUCAACCCUGGAACUGCAUUUGAAACUGUAGGUCUUGAGUGCUGGAGAGGCAAUCGGAAUUCCGUGUGUAGCGGUGAAAUGCGUAGAUAUACGGAGGAACACCAGUGGCGAAGGCGGAUUGCUGGACAGUAACUGACGCUGAGGCGCGAAAGCGUGGGGAGCAAACAGGAUUAGAUACCC
rnacentral:rRNA from 1 species